rnacentral:rRNA from 1 species
GAAGAAGGCCUUCGGGUUGUAAAGCACUUUCAGCGGGGAGGAAGGCGGUGAGGUUAAUAACCUCAUCGAUUGACGUUACCCGCAGAAGAAGCACCGGCUAACUCCGUGCCAGCAGCCGCGGUAAUACGGAGGGUGCAAGCGUUAAUCGGAAUUACUGGGCGUAAAGCGCACGCAGGCGGUCUGUCAAGUCGGAUGUGAAAUCCCCGGGCUCAACCUGGGAACUGCAUUCGAAACUGGCAGGCUAGAGUCUUGUAGAGGGGGGUAGAAUUCCAGGUGUAGCGGUGAAAUGCGUAGAGAUCUGGAGGAAUACCGGUGGCGAAGGCGGCCCCCUGGACAAAGACUGACGCUCAGGUGCGAAAGCGUGGGGGAGCAAACAGGAUUAGAUACCCUGGUAGUCCACGCUGUAAACGAUGUCGAUUUGGAGGUUGUGCCCUUGAGGCGUGGCUUCCGGAGCUAACGCGUUAAAUCGACCGCCUGGGGAGUACGGCCGCAAGGUUAAAACUCAAAUGAAUUGACGGGGGCCCGCACAAGCGGUGGAGCAUGUGGUUUAAUUCGAUGCAACGCGAAGAACCUUACCUGGUCUUGACAUCCACAGAACUU